rnacentral:rRNA from 1 species
AAAAACAUGUCCUUUUGUUAAAAAUAUAAGGUCUAACCUGCCCAAUGAUUUAAUUUAAUGGCCGCGGUAUAUUAACUGUGCUAAGGUAGCAUAAUCAUUUGUCUUUUAAUUAAAGGCUAGAAUGAAUGGUUGGACGAAGCAUCACCUUUCUUUAAUUUAAUUUAUGAAUUUAAUUUUUUAGUUAAAAAGCUAAAAUGAAUUUGAGGGACGAGAAGACCCUAUAGAUCUUUAUAUUUUAAACUUUUAUUUAUUAUGGUAAUAUAAAUUAUUAUAAUAGUUUAAAGUAUUUGGUUGGGGUGACUGUAGAAUAAAAUUAACUUCUAUUUUUAUUUUUCAUUAAUUUAUGUAAUUUUGAUCCAUAUUUUUUGAUUAAAAGAUUAAGUUACCUUAGGGAUAACAGCGUAAUUCUUUUGGAGAGCCCAAAUCGAUAAAGGAGGUUGCGACCUCGAUGUUGGAUUAAAAUAAGUUUUGGGUGCAGAAGCUUAAAAACUAGGUCUGUUCGACCUUUAAUUUUUUACAUGAUCUGAGUUCA